rnacentral:tRNA from 1 species
AUUUGUAUAGUUUAAAUCAAAACAAUACAUUUUCAUUGUAUAAAUAAUAUAAAUAUAAAUAUUUACAAAUA